GUUUGGAAUUAAGGCUUAGUUGUUCAAACAUUCUCGGUCUAAUAAAGAAACAUACAUUUCCCAAUGUACUCCAAACGCCAUAAAAUAGUUUCUAAGUUUCAGAAAAUCUUUUCCAUUGACAAAUUAUCACCGUGAAACAAAUUGAGUCUAACAUGCAAAAUUUUGUUAUAUUCUGCAUAUUAAUAACUAGAUAAUGCCUAGUUUGGUUUUGGUAUUACUUGGCAUAGCCAGAUUUAAGUCUCCACUCUCUCAAUCCCCCUACUGAAAGGGGAAAAAAAAAACUAGAUAAUAAUGACACAUCUGCUAUAGCCUAUAUUGGUAACUGUAUAGAUGACGCUAUUGAUAUGAAACUGCGAUACUAUAAAAAUGACAAGGAAAUGCCUAGCCUGCACUUUAGAUGAAAUUUCGAAACAUAUAUUAUUUGAAGAUAUUGCAAAGACAGGUAGACUAGAGGGGUUGCUAACUCAGAAAAUUUAAUAAACAGCUGUUAAGAAUUAAGAAUUAGGACAAGGAUGAAGAAAGGUAAGGAAGGGAAGAGAAGGAAAAUA
rnacentral:misc_RNA from 1 species